rnacentral:rRNA from 1 species
AACGAACGCUGGCGGCGCGCCUAAUACAUGCAAGUCGAGCGAGAAGACGUAGCAAUACGUUUGUAAAGCGGCGAACGGGUGAGGAAUACAUGGGUAACCUACCCUAGAGUGGGGAAUAACUAGCCGAAAGGUUAGCUAAUACCGCGUACGCUCCUUGGACUUCGGUUCAGGGAGGAAAGCGAUACCGAGGGUAUCGCGCUCUUGGAUGGGCUCAUGUCCUAUCAGCUUGUUGGGGGGUGAUGGCCUACCAAGGCGACGACGGGUAGCCGGCCUGAGAGGGCGACCGGCCACACUGGGACUGAGACACGGCCCAGACUCCUACGGGGAGGCAGCAGUGGGGAAUCUUGCGCAAUGGGCGAAAGCCUGACGCAGCGACGCCGCGUGAGGG